GCUUACAGUCGCGACCUUCGGUCGUCCCCUUCACCCCGCCCGUCCUCCCUGGACCACGGUCUUCCUCGAACCAUGCCCCAGCUGAGGAGGCCAUUAGAGGUCAGAGGGACAGCGCAAAUACCCUCUCCACCACUUUCAGCGCGACAGGUCUGCAAAGGAAGGUCACGGAGAUCGGAAGUAAAGGAAGGAGGCCCGAGCCCCAGCCGGGAAAUGAUACCCAAAGAGGAUGAUCUGCCGGGAAGACUGGGGAGGCAGAAACUAGGAGCUUCGUGGCAGUUCCCGCCUCCGUGCGGGUAAAGGCGGGGUUUUCCUCCGAGAUCUGGCUUCCGAUUGGCCGAUCCCUGAAGGGCUCGAUCACAGAGUCGGCUUGACUCAGAGGUUCUAUAACCUCCCGCACAAAAUGGCGGCCAAGGUGGAAAGCAGCAGAAAAAGGCGUGGGAGAGAUGACCGGUCGCCUUACACAGAGAGACACAUGACCUUGGACCUUAGCCUUCAUUCGAGCGCUCGGGCCCUGGGGCGCGUUGCAUGUUGGGAUUUGUAGUCGGGUCAGAGGCCCUAAGGGCGGCUGAGAUCCCGCGAGACGUUUCUCCCCAGGCUGGGAGAGCCAAUGCCUUUGCAGCAACUCCCGCCCUAGUGUUUUGUGGGAGUCUUGCUUCCGCCAAGAGGCGUAAAGGCUACCUGCCUCCAUGGCAGUUUGUACUGGUGUUUUUUCUCCACGGUGUUACAUGUGUCAGUGGAAGGAGACCCUAUCCCAACUCCAGUGGCAGCACCUGAAGGCAAAGGCUUAUGAGUCCAAGAGACAUCAUAUCGAAAUGGUGAUACGGGAGAAGCAGUGGGAGUAUAGUCUCAUCUUCAUUUUAUCAAAGGAGAAAUAAAGGCUCUCUCAGCUUUCGGCACUGACCAAAUUGACCCUGCUGACUUGGAUUAUCACAGCGAACCAGUCUCCCUACGGUUCUUCCGUGAACUGGAUGGAGCAGGAAGGGAAAUCUUCUCAAAGAUUUGCUGUGGGCAAUCUCAGGAAUCAAAUACUUACCAGGCUGGGGGCAGGACUUUCUUGGAUACCUGAAGGUAAUAAAAAAGACUGCACUCAAUGAAAUGCAUCCUUAGAAUACAUUCUCCAGCUGUGUUCUAGCAGCUGUUUUUUGUAACCCUCAUUGUUCCCCUUCUGAUUCUUUAGCUCUCAUAUAUACCAUCUACUUUGAUAGAGGGGAUCUAGGUCAAGGAUAGUGGGAAAAGAGGAAAAAAUAAUGAAGUGGCAUUUUCAGUAGCCAUUAUAUAAUCAGAAAAAAACAAUAAACCUAUUUUCAGUGUGGAGAAAAUGAGAUUUUAAUGAAAACAGUAACAAUUUAACACGGAAAUAGUCUGAGAAUAGAUUUUAAGACCAAAUCCACACAGUCAUUUUUUAAAUGAAAUGUUUAAAAAUAUACUUUUAAGGAAAA